GAUCCUUUCGCAUGUCACGGCGAAAACCUUUGCGACUAUUAGCGAUCUUUAUUUCCUCAAAUGAUCAAGUUUUAAUAUCUUCUGGCGCACCACGCAGCUCACCAUGAAGGCACCAGAGCGCCAGUCCAGCACUGCACAACUGGCCCCACUGUAUAAGGAUGCAAGCGGUGACAAAGGGCAGGGAUGUAAACGCUCGUUAUUGAUACUCGUGCCAUUAAAUUUCGCGAAUAAUACAGUUUCCAACGUCCUGCGCACUUUGUAUAUUGAUAUUCUUCCAUGGGUUACCUAGUCCUCCGGAUACAGGGAAAAGCACAUACGCUGAUUCAAUGUAGUGCGGGCCCCUGACAUCUGGCGUUACUCCUAUGACCUGUUAUUGCCUUAUCUCGUGCCACUGUCCUUUCCAAGAACUGAAGAUGUGAUGGGAACAAACAGAGCCAGGCAGGCUGGAGUCCUCGUUUGUUACUAAAUUAAGAGCAAGCUGCCCAACAGCAAGAACGCCAUGCACCCACCGGGCGGGAAUCACAGAGCCUUAAUCAGCUAACCUUCCUAUGUGUCCAAGCAAAACAUUUUCCCAAAGUUGAGUUGCACUGCUUCUGCAGUUUACCGGUGGCUCAAGAUCCCUUGCUCUAGCUUUGCAUCCAUACUUGGAACAAAAAAGUUUCUUGAAGCUGCCUGGAAAAAGCCAUUUCAUGGGAAUGACAGCGAUCACAUUGUACCGUUUAUGGUUAGAAUUAGCAAGGUCUGAUCGCCUUCGAACUCUAAUUGUCUUGAUUAAUGGCAUAUUCUUGUAAAUGCUAGUAGUCACGUCUCGGCAGGAUAUCCGAGAAUUCUUACCUUCGUCGCAUGGAAUUUCGUCUGUCCUCUCCACCUGGCUGCCUCGUUCCAAGAAAUGUCAAAAUAGAACGGAGGUCCGGUUCUAUACUAUUCUGUAUGCAUAAUUAUUCAGGUGUCACGCCUGCUUUGAGGUUUCUUAAUUUUUUCAAAGUAUAGUCACUCUGAGAGGCACUGGGUGAAGAUCAUCAGUUAACUGCCUGGAAUUGAUCGCAAGCCUGGAAAGAAAAUACUUCAGAAAGUGGUGGAGACUGUCCGGGCUGGAGUCUGAGAUCCAACUAUUGAGCUUUUAACUGCAGCACUUAUAUGCUAUUGAGCUGGCAUUUUCGCGACGCUGGCACAGAUCAUACUUCCACUGAUCUGCAUGAAGAUUUAGAGUGUAAUUAUUCCACCAUGGGCCCUGCAAAAGAGUCCCAAGUUGUUAUUUUUUGCCAGCCUCCCUGCCCUGGGAGUGUGUUUUAUGCGCGCCUACAAGCCUGGAUGUGGGGAGCUGCUUCAGGCUCCCUCUCCGAACACCUGAAACCUGAUUCCCACAUGACUCAAGCAGGCGUAAACGUCACGAGCAGCGAUAAGGCAGACACUGAGAUACGUCGCUGGACGAGACUACUGCCCAAAGCGCAGAGUCACUCAUGACACGAGGCCCAGAUUGAUUUUAUUCAAUAAAGCGCUCAGUUCCCAUG